CUGCAGCGAGAAACAAGCAUCAGAAAUCUCAUCAGAAUGUUCUUCAAGGACACCUCUCAGUUCCCCAAAAUCUGUGGACCAUAAGUUAGCCUGCAUCAUUAAUUUACCAGGGAAAGAAGUUGGUAUAUUUGCCUCUGGGCAAAUUGUUUUAACCAAAGGACAAUGGUAUCCUCAGGCUCAAGAGAAAGCAUAAGUAUGA
rnacentral:lncRNA from 1 species